GAGCAGAGUAUACCGCAGACAUCAUUUCUACUACAGUGGCGGAGCCGUACAGGACCUGUUUCACUGCAGGGGGAUCCAAAACAAGCCCCGUGGAGCAGCAGCCAGAGCAACAGCAGCCGCAAGACAUUGUUUCUCUCCCUCUGCCCCCCCUUCCCCACGCAACCCCAGAUCCAUUUACACUUUACACAUACUGGAGCAUAGUGGAAGAGUCUAUUUUGAAGCUUCAAACGUAGUGCUGCUGCAGACCAGGAACAAGAGAGAAAGAGUGGAUUUCAGCCUGCACGGAUGGUCUUGA
rnacentral:lncRNA from 1 species